GGACUACCGGGGUUUCUAAUCCCGUUCGCUCCCCUGGCUUUCGUGUCUCAGCGUCAGCACUUCCCCAGCGAGUUGUUUUCACCAUUGGCGUUCCAAAUGAUAUCUACGCAUUUCACCGCUCCACCAUUUGUUCCACUCGCCCCUAGAAGGCUCAAGACGACCAGUAUACCGAGCAGUUCCACGGGUGAGCCGUGGGAUUUCACAAGGUACUUAGAAGUCCGCCUACACACGCUUUAAGCCCAGUGAUUCCGCCUAACGCUCGAGGCCUCUGUAUUACCGCGGCGGCUGGCAC
rnacentral:rRNA from 1 species